rnacentral:tRNA from 4 species
GAAUUCGGUAGACGCUACGGACUUAAAAUCCGUUGGCUUUUUAGACCAUGAGGGUUCAAGUCCCUCUACCCCCA